rnacentral:rRNA from 1 species
CCUACGGGUGGCAGCAGUGGGGGAUAUUGCACAAUGGGGGAAACCCUGAUGCAGCGACGCCGCGUGUGGGAAGACGGUCCUCUGGAUUGUAAACCACUGUCCCCAGGGACGAAGAUGACGGUACCUGGGGAGGAAGCUCCGGCUAACUACGUGCCAGCAGCCGCGGUAAUACGUAGGGAGCGAGCGUUGUCCGGAAUUACUGGGUGGAAAGGGAGCGUAGGCGGGACUGCAAGUUGGGUGUCAAAUCUACCGGCGCAACCGGUAGCCGCACUCAAAACUGUAGUUCUUGAGUGAAGUAGAGGCAGGCGGAAUUCCUAGUGUAGCGGUGAAAUGCGUAGAUAUUAGGAGGAACACCAGUGGCGAAGGCGGCCUGCUGGGCUUUUACUGACGCAGAGGCUCGAAAGUGUGGGGAGCAAACAGGAUUAGAUACCCGAGUAGUC